rnacentral:rRNA from 1 species
AGCGCUCGUCGGGGUAACCCAAAGUGGCCCGGAGACGCCGGCGGGAGGUCUGGAAAGAGUUUUCUUUUCUUUAUAAGCGUUCAAGUUCCCUGGAAUCCUAUAGCAGGGAGAUAGGGUUUGGAACGCGAAGAGCACCGCAGUUGCGGCGGUGUCCGGACCAUCCCCCCGGACCUUGAAAAUCCGGGUAAGGGCUACGCGGAAUGUCGCGCCGGCUCGUACCCAUAUCCGCAGCAGGUCUCCAAGGUUAAGAGCCUCUAGUCGAUAGAAUAAUGUAGGUAAGGGAAGUCGGCAAAUUGGAUCCGUAACUUCGGAACAAGGAUUGGCUCUGAGGAUCGGGGCGUGUCGGGCUUGGUCGGGAAGCGGGUCUGCGCCAACGUGCCGGGCCUGGGCGAGGGAUAACGUGACUGUCGCUACCCUUUCGAGGGGAACGGCUUGGAUCGGGAACCGAGCUCGGUCCCGUGCCUUGGCCUCCCGCGGAUCUUCCUUGCUGCGGGGUGUCGGUUCACGGUGUGUCCGUGUUGGACCCUUCAGGGGGUACAGCCGGUGCGCCGAGCCGAUUGCAAUCCAUUCGGCCGCCAUUCAACGGUCAACUCAGAACUGGCACGGACCGGGGGAAUCCGACUGUCUAAUUAAAGCAAAGCAUUGCGAUGGCCCCAGCUGGGUGUUUACGCAAUGUGAUUUCUGCCCAGUGCUCUGAAUGUCAACGUGAAGAAAUUCAAGCAAGCGCGGGUAAACGGCGGGAGUAACUAUGACUCUCUUAAGGUAGCCAAAUGCCUCGUCAUCCAAUUAGUGACGCGCAUGAAUGGAUUAACGAGAUUCUCUCUGUCCCUAUCUACUAUCUAGCGAAACCACUGCCAAGGGAACGGGCUUGGAAACAUCAGCGGGGAAAGAAGACCCUGUUGAGCUUGACUCUAGUCUGGCACUGUAAGGAGACAUGAGAGGUGUAGCAUAAGUGGGAGGCGUCGUUACGGCUCUCGGGCCAUUCGGCGUUCGACGGUGAAAUACCACUACUUUCAUCGUUUCCUUACUUACUCGGACAGGCGGAGAGCGCGUCCGCGUGGGCAUCCACCCCGUAGGAACGGUGUUCUCGCGCCAAGCGACCGAGGGUUGCAGGCAGCCGGGCGGCGGGUCGCCGUGUCCGACGGUCGCCUUCUACCAGUUUACGGCCUUCGCGGGUCGUAAAUCAUGUGGUCGGCGGACGUUUUCGGCUCCUCGACGGCCCAUAACCGUUCGUAACUGUCGGCAAACACUCCCUCGUGUGAUCCGAUUCGAGGACACAGUCAGGCGGGCAGUGACUGACUUCGUA